UUUAUGGAGAGUUUGAUCCUGGCUCAGGAUGAACGCUGGCGGCGUGCCUAAUACAUGCAAGUCGAGCGAACGGAUGAGAAGCUUGCUUCUCUGAUGUUAGCGGCGGACGGGUGAGUAACACGUGGAUAACCUACCUAUAAGACUGGGAUAACUUCGGGAAACCGGAGCUAAUACCGGAUAA
rnacentral:rRNA from 1 species